GACGAACGCUGGCGGCGUGCUUAACACAUGCAAGUCGAACGGAAAUGCCCUGCUUUUGUGGGGUGCUCGAGUGGCGAACGGGUGAGUAACAAGUGAGUAACCUGCCCUUGACUUUGGGAUAACUUCAGGAAACUGGGGCAAAUACCGGAUAGGAGCUCCUGCUGCAUGGUGGGGGGUGGAAAGUUUCGGCGGUUGGGGCUGGACUCGCGGCUUAUCAGCUUGUGGGUGGGGUAGUGGCUUACCAAGGCUUUGACGGGUAGCCGGCCUGCGAGGGUGGCCGGCCACAAUGGGACUGAGGUACGGCCCAGACUGCUACGGGAGGCAGCGGUGGGGAAUAUGGCACAGUGGGCGGAAGCCAGAUGCAGCAACGCCGCGGGCGGGAUGACGGCCUGCGGGUUGUAAACCGCUUUCGCCUGUGACGAAGCGGGAGUGACGGUAAUGGGUAAAGAAGCACCGGCUAACUACGUG
rnacentral:rRNA from 1 species